rnacentral:rRNA from 1 species
CCAAUAGCGUAUAUUAAAGUUGUUGCAGUUAAAAAGCUCGUAGUUGAAUUUCGGGGUCGGUAGGUUGGUCAUGCCAUCGGUAUGCACUGGUCUCACCGAUUCCUCCCUCUUGUAGAAGCGUAAUGCCAUUAAGUUGGUGUUGCGGGGAAACAGGACUGUUACUUUGAAAAAAUUAGAGUGUUUAAAGCAGGCUAACGCUUGAAUACAUUAGCAUGGAAUAAUGAAAUAGGACGUCGAUCCUAUUUUGUUGGUUUCUAGGGUUGACGUAAUGAUUAAUAGUGAUAGUUGGGGGCAUUAGUAUUCAAUUGUCAGAGGUGAAAUUCUUGGAUUUAUUGAAGACUAACUACUGCGAAAGCAUUUGCCAAGGAUGUUUUCAUUAAUCAAGAACGAAAGUUAGGGGAUCGAAGACGAUCAGAUACCGUCGUAGUCUUAACCAUAAACUAUGCCGACUAGGGAUCGGAUGAUGUUAAUUUUUUAAUGACUCAUUCGGCGCCUUACG